CUCUAUGCAUAACAGCUGGAUAGAAGAGAUUUGGAACAUUAGCAGGGCUUCAUUCCAGUUGCUAUCCUGGAAUAUCCAUGGUGUGUCUCAUACUUAAAUACAAGAACCAGUGAGGCUCAUAUCUAGGGCGGUGAAAAGGUAAUAGCCAGAGAAGAGGAGUCGGCUCCAGUAGGGGCAGUUUAGAUCUUUCUGGGUUGAAUGGAGCGCUAAAACUAGAGAAACCAUGCAGUGGAUCAAAAUAAAGGCAGAUGUUACUUAUCUAAGAACGCAGGCCAGUCUAGUAUGCUUCAGAGUUUGUUGCCUACUUUGUUUGCUCUCCACGCUCUCCGCCCAUGUUAACCGAUUCAAUCAUUUAACAGAUGUUGAAGGUAUUGUUGAUUGGGAACCGGCUAGCUUCGAUAUGGGAAACCCGGGUAGGUUUCAGAUAACUUGUUUGUUGCCAAUAAUGAAAAUACAACGACUCCCGGAUACAAGUAGUAUAUUCAGUAAAAUUUAUGAAAUAUACUAUAUUAUCGUAUACCCUUUUGUGCAGAGUAAUUUCUUUUAUAUAUGAAAUUCACCAUUCACAAAUUUCACAACGUAUAUCAGAACAAUCUUUUUGCGAAGAUGAUGUAGGGGGUGUUGUUUUAGCAA